rnacentral:lncRNA from 1 species
CUCAAAAAUUUCACGACAAAGAUAUUUAACUUUAUUAAAGUAUUGACUUACGGUUAAUUCUCCUUGAAUGAUCAAGAGAAGCUCGUUCUCCAGAAGCUGCAACCUCAAGUCAUUUUUCUUUGAGAAUAGUGAGGCUAGAGUGUCUCACGCUUCUUUUGGUGUAGUCUUGUUUCUUAUGUAUUCUAAUAAAUCUUCUUCAAUUGUUGUCUUUAUAACAAAUAAAGCUUUGCCCGCUUUGAUUCUCCAUUUCUUCAAAGCUCCAACCUCCUUUGGCAGCAUUACGUCACUUCCGUCAGCUACUUUCCACAAGUCUUGCCCUUGGAGAUAUGAGUCCAUGCAAGUUUGCCAUGUGGUAUAAUUCUAAUUAUCGAGCUUCCUUAUUCUUUCUAGCACUUGUAGAUCAUCCAUCGUGACUUGAUUUAGCUCCUUGUAAUCGAGCAGGCUUUAUAAAACUUCACAAACUCUUUUUGUGCACGAUCUAUGGAAGCUCAAAAAAUUCUUCGCCGACCGCAUAGCUCUGAUACCAAAUUGUUGAAUUUAAACACCAAAAGAAAAUAAUUUUUAUUGAUAACAUAAAAGUUUACACUCUUUUCAACACACUUUGAUUAUAUGGAGACACUUCUCACUGACAUACUAUAUUACCUCACUAUGUCUCUCUUUCUCUACUUAUUCUAUUUGCUCUCACUCUCUUCACACACUUUUCACCAUACACCAUCCCCUAUUUAUAUAGUUAAGUUGGUGGUGAAAAUUCUUCUACACAAAAGUUGAUGAUUUUAAAUAAUUCCAUUAACUGAUUCUAAGUCGUUUUCCUUGAGAAAUCUAGAAUGGUGAUAGGCAAUAUCUUCA